GGAUGUAGCUCAGUGGUAGAGUGCUUACCUAGCAUGCGUGAGAUCCUGAGUUUAAUCCCCAUCAUCACA
rnacentral:tRNA from 1 species